GGUGGCUCAGUGGUAGAGUACUUGCCUUGCAUGCAUGAGGCCCCUGGGUUCAAUUCCUCAGCACCA
rnacentral:tRNA from 1 species